rnacentral:lncRNA from 1 species
UAUCAUCAGCAGUGUGCAUCUGUGCCAGGGAAGGCAGCGCCCUGAGGGUGCCUGCUGCAGGGCCAAAGGCCCUGGGAGACCCUUUUGCUUCACUUGUUCAAGUGACCUGGCUCUUCUUAAGUGACCUACUUCCUUUUACAGACUCCUGAGUUAGACAGUUCAAGAGGCUGAGCUGAGAACAACUGCUAAGAUAGAGCAGAGCAGAGGCAGUCCCAGGAACCAACCCCCGACUUUAGAUAUAAUCACGCAAGUGAGGGAGACUGAACAACCCCGUCUCUGCCCACGGACCCAGCCACAUCUCCAGGCCACACUGCACCAGAGGACAAGCACGUGUCAGUCAGUGUGAGCUUAUACCGUGCCUGUACACACACGCUGCUCCUCUCCAGGAAUGAUGCUCUCCUCUCAGGCUCUUGCUGGUCACGCUGGGGUUGGCGGAGCUGAUUCUCCGCUGUCCUCGCUCCCUGGAGCUCAAUGGCCAAAGCAAGCAUGUUCCUGUCAGCGAACAGGGCCGAUGCGCUGAAGGACAAGACGUUCACAUUCUCCUCCUGGAAUUAGGCUGGGAAGCUUGAACCGCCCACCAGCAGUGAGGUGGCCCAGGGCUUGAUCUCAAGACAUGCUGGCACUGGCCUCCUGCACACUCCCUGACACACAGGAGGCCUAAGCCCCAAGAAGAGAAAAGAUACUCCAGAGUUUUCUGGAUCGUGGUACCCAGGACCAGAAAGGGCCAUCACCAUUUCUCUCACUCUCAGGGAAGGCGUGGUGGGCGUGGGAUGACCACCCAGAUCCUCCUUCUCAGUAGCUGCUCUAAAAUGUGACCCUUGGGCUGGAUCUGAGUAGCCUGUGGGG